rnacentral:rRNA from 1 species
GUCGGGCCUGCUCAUGAUUAUUAAAUUGCCGCAGUAUUUUGACUGUGCAAAGGUAGCAUAAUCAUUAGUUUCUUAAUUGGAAGCUGGAAUGAAAGGUUUGAUGAAAAACUAACUGUCUCUUUUUGAUUUAGUUGAAUUUUACUUUUCAGUAAAAAGGCUUAAAUUUAGUAUAAAGACGAGAAGACCCUAUAGAGUUUUAUGCUUUGGAAUAUUAGGUUUAUUUGUUUUAUAAAUACUUAUUGUUUUUGGUAUUUCGUUGGGGUGAUGAAAAAAUUUAUUGAACUUUUUUUUAUUUUUACAGUUAUUUCUGGAUUUUUGAUCCUUAUGGAUUAAGAGACUAAAUUACCUUAGGGAUAACAGCGUUAUUUUUCCUGAAAGUUCUUAUUGACGGAAAAUUUUGCGACCUCGAU